ACACGAAGACACGUACUGAUGACCUCACAAUACUCAUGGACCGAGCGCCUUACAUACAUCAGAUAAUCUUAUCUGCCCAGCAGCUUGGGGGUGGGUGCUUGUCUUAGCCCCUCCCACAGAUGAGGAAACUAAGGCUCCCGCCAAGGUCACACACGCCGAAGGGGGCAGAACUGGGAUGUCACGGCCACGUUCACCCCCAAGGCCUGUUCUCUCACAUCCUCUGUCCCUGCCCAGACCCUGUCCGGGGCACUGGUCCCAGAGGCGAGGAGAUGAUAAUGACGGUGACAAUGAUGGUGAUGACGGUCAUGAUGGUGACAGGGAUGAUGAUGGCGAUGGUGACUAAUACUCGGCUCUCACUCUGUGCCCCAGUCCUCAGCACUCAGCAGAUGACACUUCAUUUAGCCCUUACAGCAACCCCGGGAGAAGGCCGGGAAAUCGAGGCCCAGGGGUCAUCUGACAAAACGUGGCAGAGCCAGGAUUAGAAGCAGGUGCGUCUGAUGGAGGACAUCAGGUUCUCUGAGGUAACCCGAAGAAGAAUCCAGAAGCUUCUCCAAUGCCAGAGGCCUGACCGAGCUCACUGAGACCUGCCCAGACCUUUAUCUCAGGGAUUCUGGGGGUUGGACUUAGCCUCCUCCCCUCCCAGCACCGGAACGGCCAAGUGCAUCAAACCCUGACUCCUACAACGGCCUCUCCUGUGCCCUCCACGCCUCCACCGUCCCCCCCCCCCCCACGCGUCCUCACAGUGCCCGUUGCGAAACAACGGCCCCUCACCCCUGCACCCUCAGCUUUCAUAGCAAAGCCCCAGCAGCUCAACUGCCACUGCCCGGGGACCCCACUUCUGUAGUCGCCACGGGCCAAGCACAUGUGGGGGCUCCUGGCUUCCUCUUCCUCGCCCCCCACGUAAGCCGCCACCCUCCCCAGUCUCCGCCGUCACUUCGCCAGCCUCCCGGGCUCCAGAUCCGAUACCCGCGCGUUUCCGUGUUCCCGUGAGUGGCUGGUUCACCAGCCCCUCGAACACCAGCACCCCAAGCAGCUCACAUCUUGCAUAAACCAUGCCUUCCACUCGCCAGGACUGCUCCAGGGGGACUGGCUGUCCCGCCUUGCCUGGGCCUGAAGGGGUUGAGGGACAUGGGACUUUGAGUACUCACGCCCGCAGGGAGCGGAGUGGGGGACAGAAAAGUCGGUCACGUCAUUCCCAGCCCACUCGUCCUGGACUAACUCAGCUCCCCGAUUUAAAGCCAGUCCUUCCCUGACCCCCCACCCAGCCAGGUCGGAUUCUAUGCACGUGCCGGUUACCCCAUCUCGUGUCAUGACUGUUUAUGAGUCUACACUAGGACCCCCCUGGCAGCAGGAACCGUGUGUGACUGAAUCCAGACAGCUCCAGAGCUUAGCAAUGACCCAGCAUACCGAAGAUGUCAAGAUGCAUGGAAGGAAGGAAAAAAAAGACUCAAGUGUUCCGAAUCGGAUACAACGAAGAUUCCAGCAGAUACAAAUUUAAAAAAGACUCGGGGAGGAAUGUAUCGAAGAUUCCAAAGGCUCGCCAUCGGCGUGGUUUUAAAGGGUGGCUCCGUCGCUGGUGUGAGCUCCGAGCGGCACAACCUCUCUGGGGGCGCAAUGUGAUGACAUCCGUCCCGUGACCCAGCAGCGCCGUGUCCCAAGUUCAUCCUGCAGACAGAGGCAGGCCCGCCUAGGAAACGUGCGCGCCAAGACGGGAAGCAGCCGGAAUGGGCAUCGACGGAGGACGCCGGGUAAGCGGAGAAAGGACCAUGCAAGGCGACACAGCCGCGACAAACCCAAGCAGGCAAUUCUCUGCGCCUGACCCGGCACCAUCCCCAGGGGGUGUGGAGGAACCAACAAAAGCCCAGCUCAGAACGAAGUGCUUCUUCUUCUCGGGCGCCGGCCAGAUAUUUAUCUUCCGUCGUGGUCACGGAGCUUUGCAAACCUUUCCUGUGUUUGAGGUGUUUGCUUCUCUCGGCGGGAGCCCGGUGUCCCAAGCAACGAGCCGAAGCAGUACUUUCCCAGACUCCUUUGCAGCGGGGCAGAAAAAGAGAGAGGUUUGCCUGGCCCGCGGUUUUCCCUGCUGGGGCCACUGGAAUAGGAUUGGCAGUGUGACGCAGGCCUGGAAGCCAGGUGUCUGAGGGGACAAUCCAAGAGGGCCUAAGAAGCACCUCCUACUGCCUGGUGAAAUCAAGCGGGAUUUACGGGGUUCCUGUUGACAGCCCCAUGCUGGCCACUACAGAGGUUACAAGAACACCUGGCACCUACCAUCUGCAUAAUUCAAGGCACCUUCUCUCUGGAUGGGGGCAGGACAAUACACAAAUAAUUGUGACUAAGGGACCGUGUCAGUACAAUGACCACUGGCUUGAAAUUUCAGGACAAUCCCAGUAUUGAGUGAUAAGAAUAAGCUCUUAUUUGAUUCUAAGCCUUUUAAGGUUUUAUCUAAAUCAGUUAGCAAGACAGAGAAAAGAACUGUUCAGUCUAUAUAGGCAAUUGUGCCUUUAAAAAGUGGUCCUGAUGAGUGUGAGACACAUAGACUGUGCCCCAUUCUAACAAAACGCAGGCAGAAGACAUUGGCUGGGGCAAACAAGGAGAGCUUCCCCACGCCCACCCUUAACCUCGGCCAGUUCUAGAACUCAUAUUCAUCCAGUAAACAAAUAUUUAUCGAGUGCCUGCUACGUGCCAAGCUCUGUGCCACCAGCAGUGAACGAAACCGAGAUCCCUGCUCUUACAGGAGUCACAGUCCAGCAAUGGGGGAGGGGGAGACACCAACAAUAAAUAAAACAACAAAGCAAACGCCA